rnacentral:misc_RNA from 1 species
GAAAGAAACCAAGAGUAAGAGAAAUGCUCAACCGUGGAAGAAGAGCAAAUUGAUCAGCAAAGAUGAGGAAGGAAUUCCCGAUAUUGAAGACAUUUUCAGCGACAAAGAAACCCAGAAAAUCAGGGAAUCGUUAUUGGACUGGUACGACGAUCACCAGAGAGACCUCCCUUGGAGGAGGAAACAAACAAACCCACUUCAAGAUGAAGAAGAAGAAGAGAAAGAGAAAAGGGCAUAUGGGGUUUGGGU